GAUGAACGCUGGCGGCGUGCCUAAUACAUGCAAGUCGAGCGAACAGACCAGGAGCUUGCUCCUCUGACGUUAGCGGCGGACGGGUGAGUAACACGUGGAUCACCUACCUAUAAGACUGGGAUCACUUCGGAAAACCGGCGCUAAUACCGGAGAAUAUAUUGAACCGCAUGGUUCAUUAGUGAAAGACGGUUUUGCUGGCACUUAUAGCUGGAUCCGCGCCGCAUUAGCUAGUUGGUAGGGUAACGGCUUACCAAGGCGACGAUGCGUAGCCGACGUGAGAGCGGGAACCGCGACACUGAAAGUGAGACGCGGUCCAGGCUCUGAGGGGAGGCAGAGGUAGCGAAUGUUCCGAACUGGGCGAAAGCCUGACGGAGCAACGCCGGGUGAGUGAUGAAGGGCUUCGGAUGGUAAAACGCUGUUAGUAGGGAAGAACAAAUGCGUAAGUAACUAUGCGCGUCUGGAGGGUACGUAAAAAGAAAGCCACGGUUACCUACGU
rnacentral:rRNA from 1 species